AUGACUUAUUCCCCCAUUUAAAACCAUCUUAAGAGAACAGUUCCAGUAAAUUGAAAUGUGCCUGUAUAUGAAAAUGUAUGUAUAUGCAGAUUGAUAAAGCCGAAUAGUGUCAUCGGAAAUCCACAUGUCAUUGUCUUUAAAGGUAUAUAAAUAUUUAGGUGAAUAUUUAUGCUUCAAGAUUUAAUCUGUAGUAGAAAGUUAUGAUGAUCAGAUUAUAUUUAAAUCUACAUAUAGAUUUGUCUACCAGAUUUUAUUUAUUCUAGCAAGAAAAUGGUGUAUUUUUUACAAGAUGUUGAUUGUGACAUUGACUCAAUUGUUUGAUAAAUGCCUGAUUUAUUUUCACUUGAGAAAAUAUUUUACCUGAUGUAAUUGUUGAGAAAAGAAUGAUCUAUGGUGCCAAUGGUCAUAUAUUGCAACUUUAACUGUACAUACUACUGUAAUGGUUCCCAUGGUUACAUUAUUGCAUGGGCUGAAUUGAUUAAUAUUUUGUAGUUCUAGUUUUGGUUUUAAUUAAUUAAAAGGUGUUCUUUCUCUCCAACUAUGUUUGAGUUGAAUUGAAUACGUCUCAUGAUAUGCAAAUACAAGACCAAAUAUUCAUUAUACUGCUGAUUUGAUAUUUAUUUGUUGUGAUAUUGUUAUACACAAUUUUUAAAUAAAUAUUGUAUAUAAUAGUAGAAAUAACUGUUCUUUAAUAAAUAAAUGUCAAGGUUUGUACAUUGUAUUAAUUUACAGUGUUCCAAUUUUGUAUAAAAUUGGAUUAGAAGCAAAUAUGAACAUGCUGUGAUGUUAUACAAAAUAUCUGACAUUCAGACAAAUGCCUAGUAUGUAACUGCUGAUUGUAUAGGUAUAAUUUAUUAUUUUUUUGUGAUACACCAUGCAUGUACUGUCAUAUAUUGUACGUGAUUAACACAGUUCCAGUAACUGUAAUAAAAAUGAAUUCAUGUC
rnacentral:misc_RNA from 1 species